ensembl:scaRNA
AUGCUCACAAGAGCACUUAUCCUGCCAUGUGGCUGUGAUGGGUGCUAGGAAAAUGUGAGCUAGAGCACGAGUAUUGCUUUGGGAGUGUCACAUUCCAGGCCAUGUGGGACACUACGGUUUCCAAUACAACA